UUAAGUCCGUACGAGCGCAACCCUUGUCCUUAGUUACCAGCACGUUAUGGUGGGCACUCUAAGGAGACUGCCGGUGACAACCGGAGGAAGGUGGGGAGUGACGUCAAGUCAUCAUGGCCCUUACGGCCUGGGCUACACACGUGCUACAAUGGUCGGUACAAAGGGUUGCCAAGCCGCGAGGUGGAGCUAAUCCCAUAAAACCGAUCGUAGUCCGGAUCGCAGUCUGCAACUCGACUGCGUGAAGUCGGAAUCGCUAGUAAUCGUGAAUCAGAAUGUCACGGUGAAUACGUUCCCGGGCCUU
rnacentral:rRNA from 1 species